GUCAGGGUGACAGAGGGUGUGGGAGGGACAAGGCAGGAGGCAGGGCCAGCACUCCUUGACUAAGGAAGCCCCGGCGAGGCCCCAGAGGCCUGCAGUGAAUGGCCAGGUGGCGGCUCCGUGUGGGGCUGAGCCACCGUUACCAAGGACGACCACAAACAAACAGGGCUGGCCCGCCACACCUGGCUAGUGGCGCCUGCUGCCUGCUGGUAUCAGCAACCUGUCCCGAAGCCGGCAGGUAACUCCACCCACAGGUGAGCCCCCAGCUGGGCAUCCAGCCGGCCUGAGCAGAUCCAACUCACGCCAGGACCUUGGAAGGAUGGGUCACCGCAACAGCAACAGCCAACAAGUCUCAAAAUGCACUAAAUAGAGACACACAGGCACCAAAAGUAACUCCAUCUGCCAUCACGUUGGUGCAAAAUGGGCAAACCUGGCAGUGAUUCUUCUUUUUGAGGGGGCCGGUGCUGUGCCUGCGGCAUGUGGAAAUUCCAGGGCUAGAGAUCAAACCCCACACCACAGCAGCAACCCGGGCCACUGCAGCGACAACACCGGA